GUUGAGAUGGCCGAGUCGGUCUAAGGCGCCAGAUUAAGGUUCUGGGCGUGGGUUCAAAUCCCACUCUCAACA